UUGAAGUCUGGAGCUGGCAUGUCAGUUAACUGCUAGUAGUCUGUUGUUAUUUAUGUAUUAUUGUCAUUUUGUUUAUUUUCUUUGGUUAAAUCUUCUGACAUCAGACUCGGACUUCUCUUGAACUGAAUUUUAAUGUGCGUAUUGUUAUGCGUUUACUUUUCUACAUUGGUUAGAGGUAUAGGGGGAGGGUUGAGAUCUCACAAACAUGUUUAACCCCGCCGCAUUUUUGCGCCUGUCCCAAGUCAGGAGCCUCUGGCCUUUGUUAGUCUUGUAUUAUUUUAAUUUUAGUUUCUUGUGUACAAUUUGGAAAUUAGUAUGGCGUUCAUUGUCACUGGACU
rnacentral:lncRNA from 1 species